AUCCAAGCCCUGAAGGUGGAGAGCCAAGCCCUUAGGAGUCACAAUCAAGCCCUUAUGGAGGAGAACCAAGCUCUGAGGGAACGAAAUGCACAAGCAGCUUCGGAUGACAGUGGCUCACUUCAAGAGCAGUUGAAGCAGGUUGGGGCAAUGUUAAAGACGUUUGCCCGCACUGGGCAAUCAGGUGCAGAUCAGACCCUAAUGUUGCGACGUCUUGGAGAGUUUGGUGAUGUUGUGCGUACCAUGGACAACAAAAUGGA